rfam:Clostridium acidisoli DSM 12555 genome assembly, contig: EJ29DRAFT_NODE_1_len_1355_cov_66_600739.62
GUUGGCAAAUCCGCCUGAUUAGUUGAGGUGUUACGGGGAGCUAAUUUUAGCGAAGUAUCCGAUUUCACACUGCCAAGAAAAGCCUCUAUCUAGGCGUUUGGUGCCCGUACCGCAAACCGACACAGGUAGGUGAGGAGAGAAUCCUAAGACCAUCGGAAGAAUCGUUGUUAAGGAACUCGGCAAAUUGACCCCGUAACUUCGGGAGAAGGGGUGCCUGCUUUAUGCAGGCCGCAGAGGAUAGGCCCAAGCAACUGUUUAGCAAAAACACAGGUCUCUGCUAAAGCGAAAGCUGAUGUAUAGGGGCUGACGCCUGCCCGGUGCUGGAAGGUUAAGGGGAUCCGUUAGAGCAAUCGAAGCGGUGAACUUAAGCCCCAGUAAACGGCGGCCGUAACUAUAACGGUCCUAAGGUAGCGAAAUUCCUUGUCGGGUAAGUUCCGACCCGCACGAAUGGCGUAAUGAUUUGGGCACUGUCUCAACAACGAAUCCGGCGAAAUUGUAGUGCAAGUGAAGAUGCUUGCUACCCGCGAUUGGACGGAAAGACCCCGUAGAGCUUUACUGUAGUUUAGCAUUGAGUUUCGGUAUUGUCUGUACAGGAUAGGUGGGAGACUUGGAAACAGGAGCGUCAGCUCCUGCGGAGUCAACCUUGGGAUACCACCCUGACAGUACUGAGGUUCUAACCGGAGGCCAUGAAACUGGUCACGGGACAUUGCUAGAUGGGCAGUUUGACUGGGGCGGUCGCCUCCUAAAAAGUAACGGAGGCGCCCAAAGGUUCCCUCAGCGCGGUUGGAAAUCGCGCGUAGAGUGCAAAGGCAGAAGGGAGCCUGACUGCGACACAAACAAGUGGAGCAGGGACGAAAGUCGGGCUUAGUGAUCCGGUGGUACCUCGUGGGAGGGCCAUCGCUCAACGGAUAAAAGCUACCUCGGGGAUAACAGGCUGAUCUCCCCCAAGAGUCCACAUCGACGGGGAGGUUUGGCACCUCGAUGUCGGCUCGUCGCAUCCUGGGGCUGAAGUAGGUCCCAAGGGUUGGGCUGUUCGCCCAUUAAAGCGGCACGCGAGCUGGGUUCAGAACGUCGUGAGACAGUUCGGUCCCUAUCCGUCGCGGGCGUAGGAAAUUUGAGAGGAGCUGUCCUUAGUACGAGAGGACCGGGAUGGACUGACCUCUGGUGCACCAGUUGUCACGCCAGUGGCACAGCUGGGUAGCUAUGUCGGGAAGGGAUAAACGCUGAAAGCAUCUAAGCGUGAAGCCCACCUCAAGAUUAGAUUUCCCAUAGCGUAAGCUAGUAAGACCCCUGAAAGAACAUCAGGUUGAUAGGUCAGAGGUGUAAGUGCAGUAAUGUAUUUAGCUGACUGAUACUAAUAGGUCGAGGGCUUGACCAA